rnacentral:rRNA from 1 species
AUUUAAGCAUAUAAAUAAGCGGAGGAAAAGAAACCAACAGGGAUUCCCCCAGUAACGGCGAGCGAAGUGGGAAUAGCUCGAGCAUGAAAUCUCCGGCAGUUAUGCCGGCGAAUUGUGGCCGAGAGUGGCAGCUUGGUUCUGGUUCCGAAGCCGAAGUUUGCCUGGAAAGGCACGUCAGAGAGGGCGAGAACCCCGUGCGUGGCUGAGGACGCCAGGACCGCCAACUGCACACGGAGAGUCGGGUUGUUUGGGAAUGCAGCCCAAAGUUGGUGGUAGACUCCAUCUAAAGCUAAAUACCGGCACGAGACCGAUAGCAAACAAGUACCGUGAGGGAAAGGUGAAAAGUACUUUGAAAAGAGAGUCAAAGAGAACGCGAAACCGUUAGGAGGGAAGCGAAUGCAGCCAGUGCGAGUCCCGUCAGGUUCAGGAGCAGCGGAAAGCGUCGCUCUGGGGUGGCCUAGAUGGCGCCCGAGGGUAGUCGCGCGGCCGCGCAUCUGCACUCCUGCGGGGCUCUUGCCAACGGCAGUGGUCGGUGCCUGCGAGCCGUCGGGGAGGUGCCCUCACACUCUUCGGAGGCGGGAGGAACAUAUAACCCUUCGGCGACGGGCGUCGGCGACUGAGGAGACGAUCGCUCUUUUGAUCUGACGACGCAGGCUCCCCCUCGCGGGGCGGGCUGGCCCCCCUCUCGGACGUCCGGUCUCGCGACCCAGGACUGCGUGCAGUGCUGGGACGCGUGCGCCUUCGACCGGGGGGGAAGGGUGCAACUGCGUCUGGCGGUGGCAAAA